rnacentral:tRNA from 1 species
AACUCAAUAAUUUAAUGGUAAGAAUGAUUUUAAUAAAUUUUAAUAAAAAUUAAUGAGAGUUCGAUUCUCUCUUGAGUUA